CAGAGUGAAGGAGCAAAGGGGACUCGGCCGCCAUGUUGGGAAUACUGGGAAGAUUCCGCGGAGCCCGGCAGAGGUUUUAGGGGAAUGAUUAACAAAGGCGUCCGAAGAAAUCGUUGUUGGAAGGUGGCCAAGCUGGAAAGAGACGUUGCUUUGGCCCUGCAAGUAAGAAAAGAGACGGAGCAGCCUGAAGGAGUAACACUAAAUUUAAAAUGACACUUUUUUUUUUUUUUUUACCAACCAGCGAAAGCAGAUGUUCAAAGGGGAUAUUGGCCGGGUGCAGUCUCUUAUGCCUUUAAUCCCAGCACUUUGGGGGUAGAGGCAGGGGGAUAGCUUGAUUCUAGGAGUUGAAGCCCAACCUGGGCAAUAUACGGAGACCCCGUACCGUCUCUACAAAAACAUUAAAUAAAAAAAUUAUCUGGGCAUGGUGGCGUACCCCUGUAGUUCCAGCUACACUAGAGGCUGAGGUGGGAGAAUUGCUUGAGCCCAGGAGGUUGAGGCUACAGUGAGCCAAUAUCGUACCACUGUGCUCCAACCUGGGCGACAGAGCGAGCCCGUGUCUCAGAAAAGUGGGGAGGGGUAGGAUAUUAUUAAUGAUAAGCCUUCUGACGUCUGGCAGUAGGUUCCAGAGUAACAUCGGUCAUGGAUAAAUUUUUUUUUUUAACUAAGUGACUGAAACCAAAGUUACUUGUCUUUUGAGUGAUUUCGCACGGUAUCUCAAAAUGAACUGUACUUUUUUUCUUGUGCCACUGAAACAAUGCUGUGUGUUCUUUUUCAGAGUCUAUCACACUAAGAUGAGAAAUGUGUUUUCUUCCUGAAGGUGUCUGAUGUGUAAAAAUACUGAUAUACUUAGGGCUGUUUCCUCCCUUUCCUUUGCACGUUAUUCUGAAACAAAAUUAACUAGUUACUUUGCGUCAUUGAAGGUAUGCACUUCACCUCUAUGUUAGGAGUGAAUAAAAAAUAGAUCCUCAUAUCAAAGAAAGGCUAGACAGAAUGAUUAAAAAUGACCAAAACAUGUUAGAAACAGUCUUUCAGAUGUAUGCAGAUGGUAAUUACAAAAACACUUUUUCAAAAAAUGAUUGUAUGUGUCAUGUUUCUGGGAACAAGUCAAGAUGAAUGAGUUUGAUUUUUAAGCAGAAGUAGUAUGUGUUGGUGUCAUCCGUGAAUACCACAAUGAAAAAGGCUCAAAGUUUUUGUUACUUAGAAACUUCUCUAAGUAAUGGUGGUAAGUACAGGAAAAGGAACAAUGUCUACCAUUUUCUUUCUAACCUUCAAUUUAACUAUUGUAAUGUUGUAAGCUUAAUAGAGAUUUACACUUAGGCUUAAUUUCAAGCUCUUCAAUUAUUUUUCGUGGUUGGUGAUUCAGGUGUAUUCUCAUGUCUUAAAUGUAAAUUUAUCUUAAGUUUGUUCAUUUUAUAAUAUAUUUCUUUAUGUAAGCCA